rnacentral:tRNA from 1 species
GGGUUAAUAGCUCAGUGGUAGAGCUUGUGCUUUGCAUGCGUAAGGUCCUGGGUUCUAUCCUCAGGACCUC